UGUGUCUAUCUGUGUUCAUCUGUGUCCAUC
rnacentral:piRNA from 1 species